GGGUAAUUUACACUUGGAAGAGAGUUUUAGAAGAUCUCAACAGCAUCUCUUCUGAAUCUCUUCUGAAUCCUUCAGAAUCUCGGCCCAAAGAAUAUGGGCAUCUGGAUUAUUUUACCCAUCUCACUCUCUGCUGUCUCAGUCAUCGGGUGCUGGGUGGUAUAUGGACUUGCAUUACACUACGACCAUGUCUGUCCACUUAGUAACUGGGAAUACAGAAACUCAUGUCUGCCAAAUGAAACAGGG
ensembl:lncRNA